ensembl:lncRNA
AGCGGCAGGGCCCCGCGCAUUCCUGCGCCCGCCGUGGCCCGGAGCAGCGCGGGUGGCUUCAAGAACACUGAACCUUUAAUUGGGCCAUAAAUCAGACAGGGGAGUGCGGUGGAGUUUGUGCAGGUGUAAAAACAGAGGGGAAAGCCUGGGCUGAGCAGCCAAAGCGCCCGGGCAGCAUCGCGUUCUGUUGGACAGAGAACCCAGGACUGUCAGACGGCGAAGGGUUAGGAAGUGCGCGCAGCCUCGCCGACCCCUGCCCCGUCCGAGAGCCGGAGCUGUUGUCGAUCGAGGGCCCGGCCGUUGCGCCCGGGGCGCGCGGGCCUCGCAGAGUCGCGACGAGUCCCUGCGCCUCCUCCCAGACGCGGCGCCACCGAGAGACAGACCACCGGCUCCCGCUUCAUUUCAGGGGCUGACGAGGGGAAAACACUGCUGCGCCCCUGGCCGAAGGAGGUAAACCCAAGUAGAAAGGGCGAUCAAAAAUUAAUUUGGUGCACUGUUCGGGAGCAGCUCCCUGUCAAAACUCUACGGAGACGUUGGCACAAGCGGCAAACGGAUUCACAGACAAAGGAAAACAAUACAAGUCUCGUUAGAUCAUUUUUCUGGACAUUAUUUAAGGUCUGAAAGGGACCAAAUCGUUUCAAAAUGUUGCCAGUAAAAAUUAUCCUAUGUGGAAUGCAACUAAUCCUUUUAGGUUCCUGUCAACUGUUUCCACAAAAGGAAUCCGAUUUUUCAAAUCAAAGAUCCAAAAGUCUUUGGGGAGAGAUUUAUUACAUGCCAGAGCUUUAGUUACAGAAUAGAGUUACAAUAACAACUCGCACCCACCAACUCCCCAAAAUAAGGGAUCCCGUCCCACACAGUUCUAAUGACGUGUGGGGGAUGGUUUGCUGGAGUCCUGCUAAAUAUGCAGAUAGGAGGAGAGGGGGG